rnacentral:lncRNA from 10 species
GUGGUCAGAUAAGAUACUUGAUAUAAUUUAAAAUUUUUUAAUAUUUUGAGAAUUUUGUAACAUAUCAUCUAUCCUGGGGAAUGUUCCAUAUACUGAUGAAAAGAAUAGGUAUUAUGAAAUUGUUGGCUGAAAUGCUCUGUAAUAUCUGUUAGGUUCAUUUGCUCGAUGGUGUACUUUAAAUCUAAUGUUUCUUUGUUGAUUUUUUUUUUGUCUAGUUGAUCUGUUCAACACCGACAGUGGGAUGGAUGUUGAAGUUUCCAGUUACUGGGAUUUAUCUCUCCCUUUAGAUCUAAUAAUAUUUGCUCUAUAUAUCUGGGUGCUCUGGCAUUAAAUGCAUAUAGAUUUACAGUUAUAUUAUUUUCCUGAAUUGAUACCUUUAUUAUUAUAUAAUGUCCUUCUUUGUCUCUGUUUGGAGUUUAUGACUUAAAUCUUGUUUUGUCUGAUGUAACUAUAGCUACUCCUGUUGGCUUUUGUUUUCCAUUUGUGUGAAGUAUCUUUUCCCAUCCCUUCCUUUUCAGUCUGUGUGUGUCUUUACGGCUCAGGUGAGUAUCUUGUAGCCAGCAUAUGGUUGGGUGUUGUUUUUUUUUUUCUCUUUAAUCCAUUUAGCCAAUCUAUAUUUUUCAAAUGAGAAAUUUAAUCCAUUUUAACUCAAGGUUAUUAUUGACAGGUGAAGACUUAUUCUUGUCAUUUGAUUCAUUUUUUUCUUGUUGUUUUGUAUAUCCUUUGUUCCUUUCUUCCUCCCUUGUUUAUUUUUGUGGUUGGGUGGUUCUCUGUGGUGAUAACAUUUGAUUCAUUUUUCUUUUUCCUUUCUGUAUUAACGCUGCUGGUGACUUUUAUAGUGUUGCAUGUUUUCAUGAUUCUAAUUAUUUUUUCAUUUUCAAAUGUGUGACUUCUGGGAGCAUUUCUUCUAAGGCCAGUCUACUAGUGAUGAAUUCCCUUAGCUUUUGCUUGUUUAUGACAGAUUUUAUUUUUCCUUCAUUACUGAAGGAUAGUUUAGCUUGCCAUAAUAUUAUUAGCUGACAGGUCCCCUCUUCUACUUUUGGUACUUUGACUAUAUCACCCCAUUCUUUCAUGGUCUUCAGAUUUCUGCUGAGAAAUCCACUUUUAUUCUAAUGGGGGUUCCCUUAUGUGUGACUUGACACUUUUCUCUUGCUGUUUUUAGAAUUCAUUCUUUGUUUUUUGCUUUUGACAGUUUGGCUAUAACGUGCCUCAGAGAGGAUGUGUUUUGGUUGAAUAUAUUUGGGGAUCUUCAAGCUUCCUAGAUCUGGAUGUCUAUCUCACAGGGCUUGGGAGAUUUUCAGCUAUUAUUUUAUUAGAUACACUUUGUUGUUGUUGCUGCUGUUGUUUUUGUUUGAGAUAGAGUCUUGCACUCUCACCUGGGCUGGAGUGCAGUGGUUCAAUCUCAGCUCACUACAACCUGCACCUCCUGGGUUCAAGCAAUUAUCCUGCCUCAGC